rnacentral:rRNA from 1 species
AUUGAACGCUGGCGGCAUGCCUUACACAUGCAAGUCGAACGGUAACAGGUCUUCGGAUGCUGACGAGUGGCGAACGGGUGAGUAAUACAUCGGAACGUGCCCGAUCGUGGGGGAUAACGAAGCGGAAGCUUUGCUAAUACCGCAUAAGAUCUACGGAUGAAAGCAGGGGACCGCAAGGCCUUGCGCGAACGGAGCGGCCGAUGGCAGAUUAGGUAGUUGGUGGGAUAAAAGCUUACCAAGCCGACGAUCUGUAGCUGGUCUGAGAGGACGACCAGCCACACUGGGACUGAGACAAGGCCCAGACUCCUACGGGAGGCAGCAGUGGGGAAUUUUGGACAAUGGGCGAAAGCCUGAUCCAGCCAUGCCGCGUGCAGGAUGAAGGCCUUCGGGUUGUAAACUGCUUUUGUACGGAACGAAAAGACUCUUUCUAAUAAAGAGGGUCCAUGACGGUACCGUAAGAAUAAGCACCGGCUAACUACGUGCCAGCCGCCGCAGUAA